rnacentral:lncRNA from 1 species
CCUUGUCUGUUCAACUGUUUCCACCAUAAACAAAGCAUGUGCCUUUUAGCGUGAGAACGCCAUUACCGUACAAUUUUAACUGAAAUAAAAUUUUAAAUGGGUGGCGUUCCACGUUCUGGGGAUUGCUCCUCCCUCCAAAGUCUCUAGGCGAUAGGCUCCGUUCUCUAAUGUCUCCACCACUCUGUACGGGCCUGUCCACUUCGGGGAUAACUUAUUCUGCAUGUCAUUCUGAUGCGCC